rnacentral:lncRNA from 1 species
CAGCCAUGCUAAACCCUAUAGCCGCUGAGUUAAUUUUUUUGUUCUUUUGAGUGUAAACUUGUCAGUAUAGUUAGCUAAUCAUACUGUCUUCACUGUAUUUUGUACCGAGGCCCGGAUCAAACUUUAAAAAGGCAGAAGAGACUUCUGAUCUCAGACUGACUCAGACAUGGAGGAAGAGGAGUCAGGACCUCACAGUGGUACCACCGUGACAGCAGCACAACCCGACGGCGCUGUCUCCCUGUGAAUACGACGGGUGCUGUUUCCCUGUGAAUACGACGGGCGCUGUUUCCCUGUGAAUACGACGGGUGCUGUCUCCCUGUGAAUACGACGGGUGCUGUUUCCCUGUGAAUACGACGGGUGCUGUCUCCCUGUGAAUACGACGGGUGCUGUCUCCCUGUGAAUACGACGGGUGCUGUCUCCCUGUGAAUACGACGGGUGCUGUUUCCCUGUGAAUACGACGGGUGCUGUUUCCCUGUGAAUACGACGGGUGCUGUUUCCCUGUGAAUACGACGGGUGCUGUUUCCCUGUGAAUACGACGGGCGCUGUUUCCCUGUGAAUACGACGGGUGCUGUUUCCCUGUGAAUACGACGGGUGCUGUUUCCCUGUGAAUACGACGGGUGCUGUUUCCCUGUGAAUACGACGGGUGCUGUUUCCCUGUGAAUACGACGGGUGCUGUUUCCCUGUGAAUACUGUGCAGGAUGUGGAGGCGAUGGAGCAAAAGUUACUCGACACAGCUUUCCUGAAUGGAGUGGUAGCUGCUAUGAAUGGGAUGUUUAUCAAAAUAUUUAUUGUAGUAUUUUGUUUAUUUAGUCCAUUGUUAAUAUAAUCCCAACAAUCGUGCAUGUUAGCAAAUCAAGUUUUCAAGAUGGAGCACUUUCAGUACAGAGCAAACAGUGAUGAUGACACAAAUGAGAAACAUUAUUAUAAUUAUUAUCAUAUCAUUAGCAUCAUCCCUCUCAUUGGCUCUAUACUGCAGUGUUUCCUGGUCCAGGGGAUCAAAAGGACCUUUGAAUUGAAUAAGGUAUGUGAGUGCUGAGGCAAAAAAACAACAGUGUGCAUCCCUUGGGACCAGGAUUGGGGAACACCGCUGUACUGAAAGUCCAUCUUGAGAACUUCACUGCUGAACAUUUUGGGGGAUUUUAUACAGGGUGAGGAAACUAAGGUGUACGUUUUUUGUAAUUUGAUUGAACUAUCCCUUGAUCUGAAAAAAUGUGGUAUAAAUAAACCUGCUCAGAUCAGGGCUACUGUUUAUGAGAUGAUGAUGAUGAUGAUGAUGAUGAUAGGACCAGAUACUACUUGACACGUGUAAAAGGUCUCCCCUCACCUGGUUGUCUAGGUCUCUCCUCACCUGGUUGUCUAGGUCUCAGUAAGGAACUCCCCUCACCUGGUUGUCCAGGUCUCAGUAAGGAACUCCCCUCACCUGGUUGUCUAGGUCUCAGUAAGGACCUCUCCUCACCUGGUUGUCUAGGUCUCAGUAAGGAACUCCCCUCACCUGGUCGUCCAGGUCUCAGUAAGGAACUCCCCUCACCUGGUUGUCUAGGUCUCAGUAAGGACCUCUCCUCACCUGGUUGUCUAGGUCUCAGUAAGGAACUCUCCUCACCUGGUUGUCUAGGUCUCAGUAAGGAACUCCCCUCACCUGGUUGUCUAGGUCUCAGUAAGGACCUCUCCUCACCUGGUUGUCUAGGUCUCUCCUCACCUGGUCGUCUAGGUCUCAGUAUGGAACUCUCCUCACCUGGUUGUCUAGGGCUCAGUAAGGAACUCUCCUCACCUGGUUGUCCAGGUCUCAGUAAGGAACUCCCCUCACCUGGUUGUCUAGGUGUCAGUAAGGAACUCUCCUCACCUGGUUGUCUAGGUCUCCCCUCACCUGGUUGUCUAGGUCUCAGUAAGGAACUCUCCUCACCUGGUUGUCCAGGUCUCAGUAAGGAACUCUCCUCACCUGGUUGUCUAGGUCUCAGUAAGGAACUCUCCUCACCUGGUUGUCUAGGUCUCAGUAAGGAACUCCCCUCACCUGGUUGUCUAGGUCUCAGUAAGGAACUCUCCUCACCUGGUUGUCUAGGUCUCAGUAAGGAACGCCCCUCACCUGGUUGUCUAGGUCUCAGUAAGGAACUCUCCUCACCUGGUUGUCUAGGUCUCAGUAAGGAACUCCCCUCACCUGGUUGUCUAGGUCUCAGUAAGGAACUCCCCUCACCUGGUUGUCUAGGUCUCAGUAAGGAACUCCCCUCACCUGGUUGUCUAGGUCUCAGUAAGGAACUCUCCUCACCUGGUCGUCUAGGUCUCAGUAAGGAACUCUCCUCACCUGGUCGUCUAGGUCUCAGUAAGGAACUCUCCUCACCUGGUUGUCUAGGUCUCAGUAAGGAACUCCCCUCACCUGGUUGUCUAGGUCUCCCCUCACCUGGUUGUCUAGGUCUCAGUAAGGAACUCUCCUCACCUGGUUGUCUAGGUCUCAGUAAGGAACUCUCCUCACCUGGUUGUCUAGGUCUCAGUAAGGAACUCUCCUCACCUGGUUGUCUAGGUCUCAGUAAGGACCUCCCCUCACCUGGUUGUCUAGGUCUCAGUAAGGAACUCUCCUCACCUGGUUGUCUAGGUCUCCCCUCACCUGGUUGUCUAGGUCUCAGUAAGGAACUCUCCUCACCUGGUUGUCUAGGUCUCAGUAAGGAACUCCCCUCACCUGGUUGUCUAGGUCUCAGUAAGGAACUCCCCUCACCUGGUUGUCCAGGUCUCAGUAAGGAACUCCCCUCACCUGGUUGUCUAGGUCUCCCCUCACCUGUUUGUCUAGGUCUCCCCUCACCUGGUUCUCUAGGUCUCAGUAAGGAACUCCGGUCACCUGGUUGUCUAGGUCUCAGUAAGGAACUCUCCUCACCUGGUUAUCUAGGUGUCAGUAAGGAACUCCCCUCACCUGGUUGUCUAGGUCUCUCCUCACCUGGUUGUCUAGGUCUCAGUAAGGAACUCCCCUCACCUGGUUGUCUAGGUCUCAGUAAGGACCACCCCUCACCUGGUUGUCUAGGUCUCAGUAAGGAACACCCCUCACCUGGUUGUCUAGGUCUCAGUAAGGACCUCCCCUCACCUGGUUGUCCAGGUCUCAGUAAGGAACUCCCCUCACCUGGUUGUCUAGGUCUCAGUAAGGAACUCUCUUCACCUGGUUGUCUAGGUCUCAGUAAGGAACUCCCCUCACCUGGUUGUCUAGGUCUCAGUAAGGAACUCUUCUCACCUGGUUGUCUAGGUCUCAGUAAGGAACUCCCCUCACCUGGUUGUCUAGGUCUCAGUAAGGAACUCUCCUCACCUGGUUGUCUAGGUCUCAGUAAGGAACUCCCCUCACCUGGUUGUCUAGGUCUCAGUAAGGAACUCUCCUCACCUGGUUGUCUAGGUCUCAGUAAGGAACUCCCCUCACCUGGUUGUCUAGGUCUCAGUAAGGAACUCCCCUCACCUGGUUGUCUAGGUCUCUCCUCACCUGGUUGUCUAGGUCUCAGUAAGGAACUCUCCUCACCUGGUUGUCUAGGUCUCAGUAAGGAACUCUCCUCACCUGGUUGUCUAGGUCUCAGUAAGGAACUCCCCUCACCUGGUUGUCUAGGUCUCAGUAAGGAACUCCCCUCACCUGGUUGUCUAGGUCUCAGUAAGGAACUCCCCUCACCUGGUUGUCUAGGUCUCAGUAAGGAACUCCCCUCACCUGGUUGUCUAGGUCUCAGUAAGGAACUCUCCUCACCUGGUUGUCUAGGUCUCAGUAAGGAACUCCCCUCACCUGGUUGUCUAGGUCUCAGUAAGGAACUCUCCUCACCUGGUUGUCUAGGUCUCAGUAAGGAACCCCCCUCACCUGGUUGUCUAGGUCUCAGUAAGGAACUCUCCUCACCUGGUUGUCUAGGUCUCAGUAAGGAACUCCCCUCACCUGGUUGUCUAGGUCUCAGUAAGGAACUCCCCUCACCUGGUUGUCUAGGUCUCUCCUCACCUGGUUGUCUAGGUCUCAGUAAGGAACUCUCCUCACCUGGUUGUCUAGGUCUCAGUAAGGAACUCUCCUCACCUGGUUGUCUAGGUCUCCCCUCACCUGGUUGUCUAGGUCUCAGUAAGGAACUCUCCUCACCUGGUUGUCCAGGUCUCAGUAAGGAACUCAGUAAGAGGGGGGGGGGGGCAGUGCCCCUGUGACAACAACUUUGGACCCCCUUGUGGCCCCCCCUAAAUGUGAAGUAUGAAAUAAUUUUUACAUAACACAUUUUUUGCUAUCGUUCUUUUUUUUUUACAUCCGUUAUUAGACAGUGGCAACGCGGAACACUAAUUUAACACAGACAUCUUCUAGAGGGACGGAUUUAGGAUGGAACACAGCAGUAUCGUACCACAUGCAAAACGAUAUGACAACAAUAACGUCUAAUGUAACUGGCCCCCCCUCUAACAGUACAACUGGCCCCUCUAACAGUACAACUGGCCCCUCCCUCUAACAGUACAACUGGCCCCAGCUUGGCCCCCCCUCUAACAGUACAACUGGCCCCAGCUUGGCCCCCCCUCUAACAGUACAGCUGGCCCCCCCCUCUAACAGUACAACUGGCCCCUCUAACAGUACAACUGGCCCCAGCUUGGCCCCCCCUCUAACAGUACAACUGGCCCCUCUAACAGUACAGCUGGCCCCUCCCUCUAACAGUACAACUGGCCCCCUCUAACAUACAACUGGCCCCUCUAACAGUACAACUGGCCCCAGCUUGGCCCCCCCUCUAACAGUACAACUGGCCCCAGCUUGGCCCCCCCUCUAACAGUACAACUGGCCCCCUCUAACAGUACAACUGGCCCCUCUAACAGUACAACUGGCCCCCUCUAACAGUACAACUGGCCCCAGCUUGGCCCCCCCUCUAACAGUACAACUGGCCCCUCUAACAGUACAACUGGCCCCAGCUUGGCCCCCUCCCUAGUUGAAAUGGUCUAGAACGGCCACUGAGUAGACCCUCCAUGGAAUGAGUUUGACACCCUUGCUGUAUGGUAACUAAUUGUCACACAAGCUAAUAAAUAUAAUAAACCUAAUAAUAAUAAUAAUAAUAAUAAUAAAAACCUAAUAAAUGUUUUAUAAUAACCAUCAUCUGUGAGACUAGCUGGGACGUUCUGUAUAAUACCACUUCAAUAUUAUCAAGUCGCUAUCGUCGUCCAUGUACCUUCUGCUGUUUCAUUGAUACUUUGUUGUCUGAUCAAUUCAAUCCGUCAUGUACAUGUAAUUACCAGAAUAAAGGAAACAUCCAAAAAUAAAGUGUUUUCACACACAUUAAGGAAAGCACGCAUGCACACACCGUACACACACAAGCACAGAGUAAUGUGUCAGAGUGGUGAAGUCAUCGAUGACGUCAUAAUAUGCUCCCUACGUGUAACUGCCAGAAUAAAGGAAACCCUAACAGAAAGUGUUUUUUUAAUAGGGCUUUUGGGCGCCACCACCAACCAGAACAGCUUCAAUGAGCCUUGGCAUGGAUUCUACAAGUGGAACUCUAUUGGAGGGAUGUGACAUCAUUCUUCUAUGAGAAAUUCCAUCAUUUGGUGUUUUUGUUGGCGGUGGAGAACGCCGUCUCAGGCGCCGCUCCAGAAUCUCCCCGAGGGGUGCGUCACUUGAGUGGGUGGAGUCACUGACGUGGUAUUCCUGUCCAGGUUGGCGCCCCUCCCCCCCCGGGUUCAUGCCGUGGCGGAGAUCUUCAUGUACUAUACUCGGCCUUGUCUCAGGAUGGUAAGUUGGUGGUUGAAGAUAUCCCUCUAGUGGUGUGGGGGCUGUGCUUUGGCAAAGAGGGUGGGGUUAUAUCCUGCCUGUUUGGCCCUGUCCGGGGGUAUCGUCGGACGGGGCCACAGUGUCUCCCAACCCCUCCUGUCUCAGCCUCCAGCAUUUAUGCUGCAAUAGCUUGUGUCGGGGGGAUAGGGCCAGUCUGUUAUAUCUGGAGUGUUUCUUCUAUCUUAUCCGGUGUCCUGUGUGAAUUUAACUAUGCUCCCUCUAAUUCUCUCUCUUUCUUUCUCUCUCUCGGAGGACCUGAGCCCUAGGACCGUGCCUCAGGGCUACCUGGCCUGAUGACUCCUUGCUGUCCCCAGUCCACCUGGACGUGCUGCUGCUCCAGUUUCAACUGUUCUGCCUGCGGCUAUGGAACCCUGACCUGUUCACCGGACGUGCUACCUGUCCCAGACCUGCUGUCCCAGACCUGCUGGAACCCUGACCAGUUCACCGGACGUGCUACCUGUCCCAGACCUGCUGUUUUCAACUCUCUAGAAACAGCAGGAGCGGUAGAGAUACUCUCAAUGAUCGGCUAUGAAAAGUCGACUGACAUUGGUCAGGCAGGUGACCAAGAACCUGAUGGUCACUCUGACAGAGCUCCAGGGUUCCUCUGUGGAGGUGGGAGAACCUUCCAGAAGAACAACCAUCUCUGCAGCACUCCACCAAUCAGGCCUUUAUGGUAGAGUGGCCAGAUGGAAGUCACUCCUCAGUAAAAGGCACAUGACAGCCCGCUUGGAGUUUGCCAAAAGGGACCUAAAGACUCUCAGACCAUGAGAAACAAGAUUCUUUGGUCUGAUGAAACCAAGAUUAAACUUUUUGACCUGAAUGCCAAGCUUCACGUCUGGAGGAAACCUGACACCAUCCCUACGGUGAAGCAUGGUGGCGGCAGCAUCAUGCUGUGGGGAAGUAUUUCAGAGGUAGGAUCGAGGCAAAGAUGAACGGAGAAAAGUACAGAGAGAUCCUUGAUGAAAACCUGCUCCAGAGCGCUCAGGACCUCAGACUGGGGCGAAUGUUCACCUUCCAACAGGACACCGACCCUAAGCACAUAGCCAAAACAACGCAGGAGUGGCUUCGGGACAAGUCUCUGAAUGUCCUUGAGUGGCCCAGCCAGAGCCCGGACUUGAGCCCGAUGGAACAUCUCUGAAGGGAGAGUAAACAGGAUGGUGAUGAAGUCCAGGUGUGAUGGUUGCCAGGACCGUUGGUUAGUAGACCAUCGACGUCGAGCGCCGGCGGGAAGGAGCAGGAGUAGGCGUGCCACGUCAUCGACCGACAGAUUGCUGUAACAUAUGAUGUGGUUAACUGAUAUGUAAAAUACCUAUCCAGGCCCAUUUUGUAUUAUAGCAGUACUUCUCUACAUAUUCACAAACACAGGUGUACACACACACACAGAUUAUUUCAAACUUUUUUAUUACUCGACACAUGGAGGAAUCACAACGUUUAAUAUACAAACGUUUUGGAACCUUUCAAAAAACAAAACACGUUUUUAUCCAUGCGACAGACAGUUUAGAGAGGAGGGGCUUAUUCAACGAAAAGGAUCCCCAGACAGUUUAGAGAGGAGGGGCUUAUUCAACGAAAAGGAUCCCCAGACCGUUUAGAGAGGAGGGGCUUAUUCAACGAAAAGGAUCCCAAAUGGCACCCUAUUAUUCCCUAUGUAGUGUACUACUUUCAAAGUAAUGCACUAUAUAAUGCACUAUAUGCAAAAUUCAAAAGUAGUGGACGAUAUAGGGAAUAGGGUGCUGUUUUGGGAUGCAAACAAAAUGUUUCUGGAAUAUUAUGUGUUGAUUCCAGACAGUUCUGUAGUUGUACUCCUCUUGGAACAUGAGGAAAAGAGCGGAACCUUCUGGAGUCCUUAAAGUUCUGUUCCUUUGCCAGUUAGUUAGUCCUGGUCUAACGACACUUGUCUUUAGAGUUCCAAAAAAAGAACCCUUGUUAUAAUCCAUGAUAACAUCAUCCAUGGUCCAACGGUUCGCCCUGGUAUUGUCCUGGUAUUGUCCUGGUUUUAGACCUUGUAUUGUCCUGGUAUUGUCCUGGUAUUAGACCUGGUAUUGUCCUGGUUUUAGACCUGGUAUUGUCCUGGUAUUGUCCUGGUUUUGUCCUGGUAUUGUCCUGGUUUUGUCCUGGUAUUGUCCUGGUUUUAGACCUGGUAUUGUCCUAGUUUUAGACCUGGUAUUGUCCUGGUAUUGUCCUGGUAUUGUCCUGGUUUUAGACCUGGUAUUGUCCUGGUUUUAGACCUGGUAUUGUCCUGGUUUUGUCCUGGUAUUGUCCUGGUUUUAGACCUGGUAUUGUCCUGGUUUUGUCCUGGUAUUGUCCUGGUUUUAGACCUGGUAUUGUCCUAGUAUUGUCCUGGUUUUAGACCUGGUUCGCCCUGGUAUUGUCCUGGUUUUGUCCUGGUAUUGUCCUGGUAUUGUCCUGGUUUUAGACCUGGUAUUGUCCUGGUUUUGUCCUGGUUUUAGACCUGGUUCGCCCUGGUAUUGUCCUGGUUUUAGACCUGGUAUUGUCCUGGUUUUGUCCUGGUAUUGUCCUGGUUUUAGACCUGGUUAAAGGGUCAGCCCAGAGUUGAAGAACGGUCUGGAGUUAGAGGUGAGGCAAUAAAGAUCCAUAGUUUCAAAUAGGGAGAAGUCCUGGUAGUAUAGUAGUAGUAGUAGUAGUAGUAGUGUAGUCCACUGUAGUAUAGUAGUAGUGUAGUCCACUGUAGUAUAGUAGUAGUAGUGGUAGUGUAGUUCACUGUAGUAUAGUAGUAGUAGUGUAGUCCACUGUAGUAUAGUAGUAGUGUAGUCCACUUUAGUAUAGUAGUAGUAGUGUAGUCCACUGUAGUAUAGUAGUAGUAGUGGUAGUAGUAGUGUAGUUCACUGUAGUAGUAGUGGUAGUAGUAGUAGUGUAGUUCACUGUAGUAGUAGGAGUAGUAGUAGUGUAGUUCACUGUAGUAGUAGUGUAGUCCACUGUAGUAUAGUAGUAGUAGUAGUGGUAGUGUAGUCCACUGUAGUAUAGUAGUAGUAGUAGUAGUAGUGGUAGUGUAGUCCACUGUAGUAUAAUAGUAGUAGUAGUGUAGUUCACUGUAGUAUAGUAGUAGUAGUGUAGUUCACUGUAGUAUAGUAGUAGUAGUGUAGUAUAUUAGUAGUAGUAGUGUAGUCCACUGUAGUGUAGUAGUAGUGUAGUAGUGUAGUCCACUGUAGUAUAGUAGUAGUGUAGUAGUGUAGUCCACUGUAGUGUAGUAGUGUAGUCCACAGUAGUGUAGUAGUAGUGUAGUCCACUGUAGUAUAGUAGUAGUGUAGUUCACUGUAGUAUAGUAGUAGUGUAGUAGUUUAGUCCAAUGUAUUAUAGUAGUAGUGUAGUAGUGUAGUCCACUGUAGUAUAGUAGUAGUGUAGUAGUGUAGUCCACUGUAGUGUAGUAGUAGUGUAGUCCACUGUAGUGUAGUAGUAGUGUAGUAGUGUAGUUGGUUGGACCACUGACUGUAAAGUCUCCAAGUUGGGGUAAGGAGGUAUAAGAGCUGUCUGUCUGUCUGAGGAGGGGAAUAAGUGCUAAUGUGGUCCCAUUAGAGUGGGGUUGUGGUCCCAUUGGAGUGGGGUUGUGGUCCCAUUGGAGUGGGGUUGUGGUCCCAUUGAAGUGGGGUUGUGGUCCCAUUGGAGUGGGGUUGUGGUCCCAUUGGAGUGGGGUUGUGGUCCCAUUGAAGUGGGGUUGUGGUCCCAUUGGAGUGAGGUUGUGGUCCCAUUGGAGUGGGGUUGUGGUCCCAUUGGAGUGGGGUUGUGGUCCCAUUGGACUGGGGUUGUGGUCCCAUUGAAGUGGGGUUGUGGUCCCAUUGAAGUGGGGUUGUGGUCCCAUUGGAGUGGGGUUGUGGUCCCAUUGGAGUGGGGUUGUGGUCCCAUUGGAGUGGGGUUGUGGUCCCAUUGGAGUGGGGUUGUGGUCCCAUUGGAGUGGGGUUAUGGUCCCAUUGGAGUGGGGUUGUGGUCCCAUUG